GAGGAGAAGGAGGAGAAGGAGGAGGAGGCCAGCUGGCACCCCAGGGAGGCGGCUGCUGCAGCAUGUGGAAGCGUCGCACGCCUACUUUGUGCAACAUCGUGCCAUUCGUCUCUGCAGCCGCACGCGAGCGUUCCCGCUGGCCACAGACUCACGCCCGAGCCCGCUAAGGGGGACGGGUCCGUCACGGUCGGAGCGGACGGGGGCAUCACCCGGUGCGGUGGCCUGCGGUGUUUCUGCAGUGAACCCACAGCCCCGGAGAGGAGGGGGAGAUCGUGACGGAAAGGCGGUGGCCAGCAGAAGGAAACCGGAGAUGGGUCUCAAAGCAAAAUGAGACAAGAAGCCUUGGGAGACUGUAGGUUGUGGCACCCUGAACCCGGAUCUCCCUUCCCCUACACAAGACGGUAACGGGCCCUUUUGAUUCCCAGCUGUAGUGACAUCAUAGAGAGACAAUGAUUGUCACAUUGUUGAACUCCCAAGGCAGUAAGCGGAAAGAGAUGGAAAUUCCCAUAGCAAUAAGCGGAAGGAGACGGAAGGGACCAGGGAAGACUUAGACACAGAGAGCGGUAGCGUGAGUGUCUGGAGUGGGUCAGGGGAGAGGAGAGACCUCUGGGUUCUGGUGCUGAGUAGCCUCCUUCUUGACAGGAUUUGAGCCGUUGAGUCUGGAGAUCCCGGGGGCUAACCGGCGAGAGUGGGAGUUUCAGAAUUGCAGAAGCCCCGCCGCACAGAAGACGCCCAGGGAAACCCAUACCGCACCGCCGAGAGCAUGAGAAAUCUUAUUAUCCAGCCGAUGAAAGCCAGUGGAACCCGGAGGUCCCGUAAGGGUUUACUUGCAGGGAAUGAGGGGCAAGAGCGGGAAAGCUGCACUGUUGGUAAAUGUGAUCGAAUGGGAUAAGGAAAAGGAGGAAAUUAAAGUCUUUGGGAUAUCGA